GACUUAUCGAGAGAGGCAGAGGGACUGACCCGAUGAUGCCCGGCAACCCGUUUGUUAGCCAAGCAAACGAAGGUGCUAAUUUCAGCAGAAUGAUUUCAUUCUGGAAGAUAAGCG
rnacentral:ncRNA from 18 species